GCCGACUUAGCUCAAUUGGUAGAGCAAUCGCCUUGUAAGCGAUAGGUUAUCGGUUCAAUUCCGAUAGUCGGCU
rnacentral:tRNA from 1 species